GGGACACGUGGUAUCCUGUCUGAAUAUGGGGGGACCAUCCUCCAAGGCUAAAUACUCCUGACUGACCGAUAGUGAACCAGUACCGUGAGGGAAAGGCGAAAAGAACCCCGGCGAGGGGAGUGAAAAAGAACCUGAAACCGUGUACGUACAAGCAGUGGGAGCCUCUUAAUGGGGUGACUGCGUACCUUUUGUAUAAUGGGUCAGCGACUUAUAUUCUGUAGCAAGGUUAACCGAAUAGGGGAGCCGAAGGGAAACCGAGUCUUAACUGGGCGUUAAGUUGCAGGGUAUAGACCCGAAACCCGGUGAUCUAGCCAUGGGCAGGUUGAAGGUUGGGUAACACUAACUGGAGGACCGAACCGACUAAUGUUGAAAAAUUAGCGGAUGACUUGUGGCUGGGGGUGAAAGGCCAAUCAAACCGGGAGAUAGCUGGUUCUCCCCGAAAGCUAUUUAGGUAGCGCCUCGUGAAUUCAUCUCCGGGGGUAGAGCACUGUUUCGGCAAGGGGGUCAUCCCGACUUACCAACCCGAUGCAAACUGCGAAUACCGGAGAAUGUUAUCACGGGAGACACACGGCGGGUGCUAACGUCCGUCGUGAAGAGGGAAACAACCCAGACCGCCAGCUAAGGUCCCAAAGUCAUGGUUAAGUGGGAAACGAUGUGGGAAGGCCCAGACAGCCAGGAUGUUGGCUUAGAAGCAGCCAUCAUUUAAAGAAAGCGUAAUAGCUCACUGGUCGAGUCGGCCUGCGCGGAAGAUGUAACGGGGCUAAACCAUGCACCGAAGCUGCGGCAGCGACACUAUGUGUUGUUGGGUAGGGGAGCGUUCUGUAAGCCUGUGAAGGUGGCCUGUGAGGGUUGCUGGAGGUAUCAGAAGUGCGAAUGCUGACAUAAGUAACGAUAAAGCGGGUGAAAAGCCCGCUCGCCGGAAGACCAAGGGUUCCUGUCCAACGUUAAUCGGGGCAGGGUGAGUCGACCCCUAAGGCGAGGCCGAAAGGCGUAGUCGAUGGGAAACAGGUUAAUAUUCCUGUACUUGGUGUUACUGCGAAGGGGGGACGGAGAAGGCUAUGUUGGCCGGGCGACGGUUGUC
rnacentral:rRNA from 1 species